rnacentral:misc_RNA from 1 species
UAGACCAAGAAAUGAUCACCAAGCUCUUUUCCCACCAAGUGGGAUCACAUUAGACCCAGAUCGGUUAACAAAGCCUCCUCGCCCUCCCCCUCGACCUCCUCCACGACCCCUUGACCGGAAAUUCCCUCCGGAACCCAUGCCACCAGAAGAUCUGCUCAUUGCAGCCAAUGCUGGACUCACAAUCUGCCCAGCUUCCUGUAGGAUCUUGACAAGUUCCCUAGAAAACCUCGCAUUUGAUUGAGUAAAGAAGGUCAAGGCCAUGCCCUUAGCACCUGCACGGCCAGUUCGACCAAUCCUGUGAACAUAAUCCUCGAGACUUCCCGGGAAAUCAUAAUUGAUCACACACUUUAUGUCUUUCACAUCUGCAUCACACAAAACAAGUUGACCAGUUAGUACUACAUCCAGAUCUGACAAACCUUAGCAGUCCAAUUGGCUCUCCCCAUCAGGAUCAGACGCAUCAGAAUGCCUUUCAUCACUGCAAGCUUAAGGGAAAACUGAAGCAACGGAAAUGUUCUCAAGGAGUCCGACUUGGCUGCAACUGAACCAGAUUCACAACUGUGGAUGGGUGGCAAAAACUUCUCUAGCCAUGUUACUUGGAUGCAUAGGAAUACAAAAUGAUUUG